rnacentral:rRNA from 1 species
AGUUUGAUUCUGGCUCAGAUUGAACGCCAAGGGAUGCUUUACACAUGCAGCUGAAUGGCAGCACGGACUUCGGUCUGGUGGCGAGUGGCGAACGGGUGAGUAAUGUAUCGGAACGUGCCUAGUAGCGGGGGAUAACUACGCGGGAAAGCGUAGCGCAUUACCGCAUACGCCCUUCGGGGGAAAAGCGGGGACCUUCGGGCCUCGCAGCACUUAUUAGAGCGGCCGAUAUCGGAUUAGCUAGUUGGUGGGUAACGGCUCACCAAGGCGACGAUCCGUAGCUGGUUUGAGAGGACGACCAGCCACACUGGGACGGUGACACGGCCCAGACUCCUACGGGAGGCAGUGGGGAAUUUUGACAAUGGGGAACCCUGAUCCAGCCAUCCCGCGUGCGAUGAAGGCCUCGCUGUAAAGCACUUUUGGCAGGAAAGAAACGCAAGCAUUGGAUAAUACCCUGUGCAACUGACGGUACUGCAGAAUAAGCACCGGCUAAUCCGAUGCCAGCAGCCGCGGUAAUACGUAGGGUGCAAGGUUAACUGGAAUUACUGGGCGUAAAGCGUGCGCAGGCGGUUCGGAAAGAAAGAUGUGAAAUCCCAGAGCUUAACUUUGGAACUGCAUUUUUAACUACCGAGCUAGAGUGUGUCAGAGGGAGGUGGAAUUCCGCGUGUAGCAGUGAAAUGCGUAGAUAUGCGGAGGAACACCGAUGGCGAAGGCAGCCUCCUGGGGAUAACACUGACGCUCAUGCACGAAAGCGUGGGGAGCAAACAGGAUUAGAUACCCUGGUAGUCCACGACCUAAACGAUGUCAACUAGCUGUUGGGGCCUUCGGGCCUUGGUAGCGCAGCUAACGCGUGAAGUUGACCGCCUGGGAGUACGGUCGCAAGAUUAAACCUCAAAGGAAUUGACGGGGACCCGCACAAGCGGUGAUGAUGUGAUUAAUUCGAUGCAACGCGAAAAACCCGCAUCGCCCUUGACAUGUCUGGGACCCGGAAGAGAUUUGGAGGCCGCAAGAGAACCGGAAUCAGGUGCUGCAUGGGUCGUGGUCAGCUCGUGUCGUGGAGAUGUUGGGUUAAGUCCCGCAAUGAGCGCAACCUUGUCAUUAGUUGUCGAAAAUUUAAUGAGACUGCCGGCACAAGCCGGAGGUGAAGCGGUGGGGCGACGCCUGUCCUCGCACCUUUGGUGGGGCAGGGUCACAUCGCCGCUACAACGGUCGGGACGAGGGUCGCCAACCCCGCGAGGGGAGCCAAUCCUGCAGAAACCCGAUCGUUCCGGAUCGCAGUCGCAACCUGACUGCAAGCCUGGAACGCUGGCACCGUGAUCAGCACGUCGCGGUGAAUAUGCCCUGGCCUGCACACACCGCCCCGGUCACACCAUGGAGUGGGUUUACCAGAAGAAGUUAGCCUAACCGUGGUGGGGGCGAUUACCACGGUAGGAUUCAUGACUGGGGUGAAGUCGUAACAAGGCA